CAGGUAAACAACCUCUCCCUCAACGUCAGCAAAACAAAGGAGCUGAUUGUGGACUUCAGGAGGAAUCAGGCUGGGCACGCCCCCAUCCUCAUCAACAUGGCCGAUGUGGAGACGGUCAAAAACUUCAAGUUCCUUGGCAUACACAUUUCCAAGGAGCUGAAAUGGUCAAAUCACACGGACACAGUUGUGAAGAAGGCACGACAGCGACUCUUUAACCACUCCUAACCUCCCACGCACCCACCUCUUCCGGCUGCUCCCCCAUUGACAUUUAAAUGUUUAUCCCCCCUCCACAAUGUACAAUUACCCUGCCUACACCCCAAUGGACAUUUAUAUGUAUCAUUGUUAGAGUUGUAAAUAUGUAUAUAUUAUCAUAGUUGUUUUAUUGUUUCAUUCACACCUACACCGCUGGAGCUCGGAGCUUAAGUAUUUCACUGUACACUUCAACUACAUCAACGAACCUGUGCAUGUGACAAAAUACACAUCUAAUCAAAACAUUUGAUGUAAUCAUAACCACGACAUCGUUUCCCCUGGCAACCGCUGGUCCCCUCUCGACGGUUGCCUAGUAACUGAGCGGGCCUCCUGUUUUUCGCUUCAACGCGGGUGAAGGGUGGCUAAGGUUUGGGCUCGAGCGAAUCCAUUGAGGUAGACGAUUCUCUCUCUAUUUCAAAACUUUUAAACAGAGCAAAACGUUCGUUGACUUGACAACAGAUUCGUUAAUGUCGCAAAGAUGAGUCUUGGGAGGUAAACUAUUACCGAAUGCACUCGAAAUCUGUUGAGUGUUCAAUAGGUGCCAGGUGUGUCCCGCUGAGGAGGACCCAGUGGAGGCAGCAGAGAGUGUCCCUCAGUCAGAGCCAGAGAGGCUGCAUCACCCGACAUUGAACCAGAACCUCAGGAGGAGCCAGAGCCCCAGAGGGCCUCUCCAUCCCCUCGUUCAAGCCCAGAGCCAGAACGAUUCAAGACAGUAGAGCCUGAACCUAAACCAAAGGCCCAGGACGCCAAAGUAGCACCUGAACCGGUGACCCAACAACCACAGAAAGCAGAGGAGGCAGAGGACUGCAAUAAACCUGACACCACUACCAAGGAGGAGGGGAAGACUUUAGACGAGGGCGAUUGUGGUGUCCCUGCCAGCUGCGAUGCAGUAAAGAGCUGUCUCAUGCCUAUUCCCCACACGCCUGCAUGCCUCAACAGCUAACCUGCUGAAAGAGCACAACAUCACCGCUCCUAAACUUCCCCCCAUGCCCCAGCUCCCCACCAACCUCUCCCAGUUCACCUCCCUGGUCACCCAGCUAAUGCCCUCUCUCCCCCCAGAACUCUGCCAAGAGUAUUUCCAGUACACUUGGCCAUUCACCCAAAUGUCCCAGCGUGUCUCCCAACUCCCACAACAGAUCUCUCAACUGCCCCAACAGAUGUCCUAACUGCCCCACCAGCUCCAAGUUCAAAUACCUCAGCAGUUAACUGGUCUUCCCACCAAUCUACUCCAGCAGUUAUUCAGCUUACCCCAAACCCUGGCCAAUCUUCCCAGACAGAUAUACAACUUACCUCAGCGAGUGGGACAGUCCUACACCAACGUGCAGAACCGCCU
rnacentral:lncRNA from 8 species